GAGUUUGAUCUUGGCUCAGGACGAACGCUGGCGGCGUGCUUAACACAUGCAAGUCGAACGGGGUGCCUAUGAAAGAGAUUUCGGUCAAUGGAUUAGGUUACUUAGUGGCGGACGGGUGAGUAACGCGUGAGGAACCUGCCUUUCAGAGGGGGACAACAGCUGGAAACGGCUGCUAAUACCGCAUGACACAUAUUUAUCGCAUGGUAGAUAUGUCAAAGAUUUAUCGCUGAGAGAUGGCUCGCGUCUGAUUAGCUAGUUGGUAGGGUAACGGCCUACCAAAGGCGACGAUCAGUAGCCGGACUGAGAGGUUGGCCGGCCACAUUGGGACUGAGAUACGGCCCAGACUCCUACGGGAGGCAGCAGUGGGGAAUAUUGGGCGAAUGGGCGCAAGCCUGACCCAGCAACGCCGCGUGAGGAAGAAGGCUUCGGUUGU
rnacentral:rRNA from 1 species